AGCAAAGUACACUAGUAAAAGUACAGAAAUUGUGCUUAGAGACUGAGAUUAGGAGUACAUGAACUCCUAGAACUGUGAGUGAACUUAUUAUCGUCUUAAUUAUCUAGAGUAGUUUUAUACAACUGUGUGAUUCUAUGAAAAAUGGGUUUAAAUGCUAAAUUACCAUGUUUUAAGAGAAAUUGUGAUUUUAUAAAAUGAUUUUAUAAAUUUUCUGGAAAAUCGAAUAUUGGUUUUGAAAAUAGAGUAAUUGGAGACUGCUAGUUUGUGUUGCAAAUUUAUGGUUUUGAAUUGAAUGGCUUAUGAUAAUAAAUGAGCAUGAAUGGCUAAACUGAUUUUGGUGUUAGAAUUAUUUAUACUGUGUAUUCAGCCUUAAGAGGCUAGGUUGUGAUAAAUUGCCAUGUCAUGCUAGAAUGAAUUUUAUUGAUUGGUGGAUUAUAUAUUAAUUACUUACUGCAGAGGGGGUUCCGUGGACUAGCUUAUUAGAGGGGCACGGUAAACUCCAUUAUAUUAUUACCUCGAACGGAGAGGCGCGUAGGGUAUCUCCUAGGGUAAAGCUUAGGGUUCACUUCACGCCAAACCACCACGUGAAGGGGAACUCAGCCAACGCCAAGGAACGACUGUAUUUUUCUCAAACUAAAAAUAUAAUUUAAGUGUAUACGAAAUUUUAACAGCCUUGGCGGACUCGGUUAGAUGCCUUGCGUAAGGUGUCACCAAGUAUGAGUUUUGGCACGAGCCAAAGUUUUAAGAAAUUCAUAAGCCAAGUUGAUUACUCGAUUUUUAUGGAUUGAUUUUAUUUGGUUGAAAUGAGUUGAAAGGUAAUGAAAUUACAGUGUGAUGAUUUAUUUUAAUUGUCUCCAUUUACUCGACUUUAGAUAGUUUAGAUGGUAUCUGUUUACUCACUGGGAUUUUAUAAUCUCACCACCCUCAUUUCCUCACAUUUCAGGCUUGGGGAAUUCCAUAAUUAGCUGACUUGACAAGGACCUUCAUUUGGACUCGAAUCGGC
rnacentral:lncRNA from 1 species